rnacentral:rRNA from 1 species
GAAAAGCCCGCUCGCCGGAAGACCAAGGGUUCCUGUCCAACGUUAAUCGGGGCAGGGUGAGUCGACCCCUAAGGCGAGGCCGAAAGGCGUAGUCGAUGGGAAACAGGUUAAUAUUCCUGUACUUGGUGUUACUGCGAAGGGGGGACGGAGAAGGCUAUGUUAGCCGGGCGACGGUUGUCCCGGUUUAAGCAUGUAGGCUGGUUAUCCAGGCAAAUCCGGAUAACCAAGGCUGAGGUGUGAUGACGAGGCACUACGGUGCUGAAGUAACAAAUGCCCUGCUUCCAGGAAAAGCCUCUAAGCAUCAGGUAACAUCAAAUCGUACCCCAAACCGACACAGGUGGUCAGGUAGAGAAUACCAAGGCGCUUGAGAGAACUCGGGUGAAGGAACUAGGCAAAAUGGUGCCGUAACUUCGGGAGAAGGCACGCUGGUGUGUAGGUGAAGCCCCUGCGGGUGGAGCUGAGACCAGUCGAAGAUACCAGCUGGCUGCAACUGUUUAUUAAAAACACAGCACUGUGCAAACACGAAAGUGGACGUAUACGGUGUGACGCCUGCCCGGUGCCGGAAGGUUAAUUGAUGGGGUUAUCAGUAAGGAGAAGCUCUUGAUCGAAGCCCCGGUAAACGGCGGCCGUAACUAUAACGGUCCUAAGGUAGCGAAAUUCCUUGUCGGGUAAGUUCCGACCUGCACGAAUGGCGUAAUGAUGGCCAGGCUGUCUCCACCCGAGACUCAGUGAAAUUGAACUCGCUGUGAAGAUGCAGUGUACCCGCGGCAAGACGGAAAGACCCCGUGAACCUUUACUAUAGCUUGACACUGAACAUUGAGCCUUGAUGUGUAGGAUAGGUGGGAGGCUUUGAAGCGUGGACGCCAGUCUGCGUGGAGCCAACCUUGAAAUACCACCCUUUAAUGUUUGAUGUUCUAACGUUGGCCCCUGACCGGGGUUGCGGACAGUGUCUGGUGGGUAGUUUGACUGGGGCGGUCUCCUCCCAAAGCGUAACGGAGGAGCACGAAGGUUAGCUAAUCCUGGUCGGACAUCAGGAGGUUAGUGCAAUGGCAUAAGCUAGCUUGACUGCGAGCGUGACGGCGCGAGCAGGUGCGAAAGCAGGUCAUAGUGAUCCGGUGGUUCUGAAUGGAAGGGCCAUCGCUCAACGGAUAAAAGGUACUCCGGGGAUAACAGGCUGAUACCGCCCAAGAGUUCAUAUCGACGGCGGUGUUUGGCACCUCGAUGUCGGCUCAUCACAUCCUGGGGCUGAAGUAGGUCCCAAGGGUAUGGCUGUUCGCCAUUUAAAGUGGUACGCGAGCUGGGUUUAGAACGUCGUGAGACAGUUCGGUCCCUAUCUGCCGUGGGCGCUGGAGAAUUGAGGGGGGCUGCUCCUAGUACGAGAGGACCGGAGUGGACGCAUCACUGGUGUUCGGGUUGUCAUGCCAAUGGCACUGCCCGGUAGCUAAAUGCGGAAGAGAUAAGUGCUGAAAGCAUCUAAGCACGAAACUUGCCCCGAGAUGAGUUCUCCCUGAGACUUUAAGUCUCCUGAAGGAACGUUAAAGACGAUGACGUUGAUAGGCCGGGUGUGUAAGCGCAGCGAUGCGUUGAGCUAACCGGUACUAAUGAACCGUGAGGCUUAACCUU